rnacentral:rRNA from 1 species
UUUGGACUACGGGAGGCAGCAGUAGGGAAUUUUCGUCAAUGGGCGCAAGCCUGAACGGGCAAUGCCGCGUGAACGAGGAAGGUCUUCGGAUCGUAAAGUUCUGUUGAAGGGGAAAAAGAGCGGAGAGAGGAAAUGGUCUCCGAUUGAUAUUACCCUUCGAGGAAGUCACGGCUAACUACGUGCCAGCAGCCGCGGUAAUACGUAGGUGGCGAGCGUUAUCCGGAAUGAUUGGGCGUAAAGGGUGCGUAGGCGGUCCGUUAAGUCAGCGGUAAAAUUGCGGGGCUCAACCCCGUCGAGCCGUUGAA